rnacentral:rRNA from 1 species
CUAAGAAUCUUCCGCAAUGGGCGAAAGCCUGACGGAGCAACGCCGCGUGAAUGAAGAAGGCCUUCGGGUCGUAAAGUUCUGUUGAAAGGGAAGAAGUCUUUCUGUGUGAAUAAUGCGGAAAGGUGACGGUACCUUUUGAGGAAGCUCCGGCUAACUACGUGCCAGCAGCCGCGGUAAUACGUAGGGAGCAAGCGUUGUCCGGAAUUACUGGGCGUAAAGGGCGCGUAGGCGGGAUAUUAAGUUAGGUGUGAAAACUCCGGGCUCAACUUGGAGACUGCACAUAAAACUGAUAUUCUUGAGGACAGGAGAGGAAAGUGGAAUUCCUAGUGUAGCGGUGAAAUGCGUAGAUAUUAGGAGGAACACCAGUGGUGAAGGCGGCUGUCUGGACUGUAACUAACGCUGAGUCGCGAAAGCGUGGGGAGUGAACG